rnacentral:ncRNA from 1 species
GGUCGACGGUGCGAGGAAUACAAGACCCGUAAGGGGAAUAACUCCGCCUGAUUCGUACAGGUUUCUAGCCGUCGGCCGCCCUAUA